rnacentral:lncRNA from 1 species
UUUUUUUAUUUAAUAUAGGAUUUCGCUAUAAUUUUCAUAAAUGAACUUUAUCUUAUACUUAAUAGAAAAAUGAAAUAAAAAAAUGGGUCACCGUUCAUUUACGCUCACAAUCUGCCUUCGAAAGAAGCAUACAUUUUUGUUAAUGUCUUUUUUUCUGUUGAACUAAUAGGAGAAAUAGCGGUAAUAUCGAAAUAAAAAAAGAACCAAAUUACAGAAAUCGCUUAAAUUUUACAAUUAUUUAGUUUAUGUACAGCUUAUUCGAAAACAACUAUAAAAAAUAUAGGUCACCGAUGAUUUAAAAAAGAUAUUUCAAUUUUAAUGCCAAAAAA